UCAGGCAGUUCAACUCAAGAGAACUAACUCUAGUCCAAAAAUGCAGCAAAAAUGAACAGACGUUUCGUUAUUCCGAGUUCAACUGAAUUCAACCACCCGAAUAGCGAAGUGUAUUUUAAGAUUGUUCUGAGAAAGUUAAGUGAUUUAUUUGCUACAUCAGAUCUUUUGCAGUCUUUGCAGUCACAACAUCGGAUUCGUCAAUAUGUAGCUAUGGAAAAAAUUAAUUUUAAAUUAUCUGUUUCGCGUAAAUCGCAGCGUGAGUUGUCCAUGCGACAGCGUAAUAGGGUUAUGUUAGAGAUGAGAAAUAAUUUAAGGUCGUCUAAUUCUUCCACAUUUAAUAUUACUGGUAGACAAUUAAAUAAUAAUCGUAAUAAUAUGCAUGUUACUUUUGACUCUACAACUUUGACUCCUGGAUGCAGUUCUCGUAAUGAUAUAAUAUUUAACAAUAAUUUCGACUCAGCAAAUGCAGGAUGCAGUUCGGAUAAUAAUAUACAUAUUUCCAGUAACAAUUGCGAUUUUACAUAUAACCCAAAUAUUAAUAACGAUUCUUCUUCUGUGUCUUCAGAUGUCUUUGAAGUCGGUGACACGUUUUUAUUUUCUUUGAGCAACUCCGUUCAAGCAUCCUUUCGCGAACGUUUAGCAUCUUGCUUAGUUGAUAAUAAUUUUAAGCAUAUAUACACAAGACAAUAGUGUCUUAAGUCUACUUCGAACACAUUAUUGCUUUUUUAAUUUGCCUAAAGAUGUUAGAACGCUUCUAAAUACACCACGUAAUAGUGUUAUACUAUCAAAUGUAGAUCCAGGUGAAUAUAUUCAUCUGGAUCUGGAAGUAGAUAUCAUUGAUAGUCUUUCUAGUAUUUCAUUAAUAUCUAUUCCUUCUGAACUUCAAUUAGAUUUUAAUACAGAUGGCUGCACAUUGGCUAGAUCAGGCAAUAUUCAUAUCUGGCUAAUUCAGUGUAGGAUAUCUAAUAUUCAGCAUACAAAACAGAUAAUAAUAGGAAUUUAUAAAGCUGAUGCUCCAGCCCGUACUUUUAUUCUCAAUCAUCAUGGUCACAUGUCUUGCAAACCAUGCUCAAAAUGUAAAGUUUCUGGAACAUUGAGCGAAGGUCGUAAUGUUUUCAUCUGUAUUAAUCAUUUCUUGAGAACAGAUGAAGAAUAUCAUGGAUACUUGGACGAAGAUCAUCAUAAAGAAGAGUAGUAUGCGGAUGUCUCGGUACAGGAGGGUGAGCCGUUAUCGCGUCUGGAAACAAUGCCUGUGGAGGACCAUUGGACCAAAGAUAAGCAAGGGCAGCCACAGACAAGAGUAAGACAAGCGGAAGGAGAGAGAGAGAGAGAGAGAGAGAGAGAG